rnacentral:rRNA from 1 species
UGCAAGUCGAGCGGACAGAAGGGAGCUUGCUCCCGGAUGUUAGCGGCGGACGGGUGAGUAACACGUGGGUAACCUGCCUGUAAGACUGGGAUAACUCCGGGAAACCGGAGCUAAUACCGGAUAGUUCCUUGAACCGCAUGGUUCAAGGAUGAAAGACGGUUUCGGCUGUCACUUGCAGAUGGACCCGCGGCGCAUUAGCUAGUUGGUGGGGUAAUGGCUCACCAAGGCGACGAUGCGUAGCCGACCUGAGAGGGUGAUCGGCCACACUGGGACUGAGACACGGCCCAGACUCCUACGGGAGGCAGCAGUAGGGAAUCUUCCGCAAUGGACGAAAGUCUGACGGAGCAACGCCGCGUGAGUGAUGAAGGUUUUCGGAUCGUAAAGCUCUGUUGUUAGGGAAGAACAAGUGCGAGAGUAACUGCUCGCACCUUGACGGUACCUAACCAGAAAGCCACGGCUAACUACGUGCCAGCAGCCGCGGUAAUACGUAGGUGGCAAGCGUUGUCCGGAAUUAUUGGGCGUAAAGGGCUCGCAGGCGGUUUCUUAAGUCUGAUGUGAAAGCCCCCGGCUCAACCGGGGAGGGUCAUUGGAAACUGGGAAACUUGAGUGCAGAAGAGGAGAGUGGAAUUCCACGUGUAGCGGUGAAAUGCGUAGAGAUGUGGAGGAACACCAGUGGCGAAGGCGACUCUCUGGUCUGUAACUGACGCUGAGGAGCGAAAGCGUGGGGAGCGAACAGGAUUAGAUACCCUGGUAGUCCACGCCGUAAACGAUGAGUGCUAAGUGUUAGGGGGUUUCCGCCCCUUAGUGCUGCAGCUAACGCAUUAAGCACUCCGCCUGGGGAGUACGGUCGCAAGACUGAAACUCAAAGGAAUUGACGGGGGCCCGCACAAGCGGUGGAGCAUGUGGUUUAAUUCGAAGCAACGCGAAGAACCUUACCAGGUCUUGACAUCCUCUGACAACCCUAGAGAUAGGGCUUUCCCUUCGGGGACAAAAUGACAAGUGGUGCAUGGUUGUCGUCACCUCCUGUCGUG